GGGAGCAUAGCUCAGUUGGUUUAGAGCAUCUGCCUUACAAGCAGAGGGUCGGGGGUUCGACUCCCUCUGCUCCCACAA
rnacentral:tRNA from 7 species